AGCUUUGUGCAGUGGCAGUAUCGUAGCUAAUGAGGUUUAUCCAAGGUGUGAUUAUUGCUAAUUAAAUAUAGUAGUGCAUACGUGUUGAUCCCAAAUGUUUUCUGAUUCAGCGAUUUUAAUUCCCAAGCAUGGA
ensembl:snRNA U4 U4 spliceosomal RNA